UGCCGGGAGGGUAGAGUCACAUCACACAGUCCCAGAUUCUGACAUUCGUCAGCUUUUGGACAUCAGCCUUCACCACACGGCUCUACACAGCGCAGACAGACGCUUGUAUUUAGAAAGACCAUCUAGCGAGUGACCUCAUGGGACCGGAAGGUGAUAAUUAUUCGUUGUCGCUCACUGCGCCCACGCACAGAUGGAGUCUCAGGUGAUAGAGUCCAAUGCCCAAGGCCACCCAGAAAUUGAGGAGAGAGCCACCCUUCUGGAAUCCGUAUGGAAGCCACUCCUUCACCCCUUCCCCGCGGCCUCCUGCCUAAGCAGGUGAGCGGUCGGUCAGCCUCAUGGGACCAGCAUCAGGGAUCGCCGCUCCCCAGUGACCAACUCCACAGACUGUCUGACAGCUGAACUCAGUGCUGGGCGAAGGGGGGGAACACGGCACGUGUCGCCAAAGCCUCAUCCAGCUUGGUCCAGCCCCUUUCUUCCCCCAGAUCCCGGCCCAGCUCUUUGGAAGGAGCAAGAAGGAACUGGAGAUGCCUCACAUCCAUGGGCGUCUCCUUACGGGGGGGCACCUCUUGCCGGGGUCCCAGUGUGACGGGACGAGGGCGUCCAUCCGGGAACGAGCCUGAGGCUGGGAGACUGGCACCUGCUAGACGCCCCACCGCGGAGCCCUGGGGCACAUAAGAAGUGUGCACAGGAAGACAAGCGAGAAGCCCUCCACGUUAGCCCAUGAGGCGUCCCGUUCCCCGCCGCCCCCACCCCCACUGGGUGUGAGGGAGACAAGAGAGGCUGCCUGCCUGAGUGGAGGACCUCCGUCUGCUGAGAAGGAGCCCCUGGGACCAAGCGCGACAGAGAGGCGGAGAGGAUGUGGUCCGUCCGCACAGACACCCAGGGGUUCCUGGACAAAACCUCGGGCCCGUGGCCGUCGCCGGUUGGCGAUGCAGCAAGGGAGGCUUAGAGAAGGCGUGGAACUCGUUCACGGAGGAGCCACUGGGCUCCCAGUGUCUGCGGACUUCAGCCGUCCUUCCCACGCCACCGAGGACCGCCGCACGCAGCUCAGACAAGUCGCGGAGCCGGGGACAGCUGGCCGCCCCCUGGGGGGAGAAGGGCAGGAAGGCAGGUGAGGCCACGGAAUGCACUAGAAGGAGGUGGCGCUUCGGCGGGUGCCCCGCCCCUCGCCACGGCCUGGCUUCACAGCACAUGGGCCCGGGUGGGGUCAGUUUCGAAUUUUAAGUUGGAUAAGUUGGCAAAUGUGCUUGGGGCGAAGACGGUCCUCGUGCGCUUCCAUGAAAUCCUUGGAAACGGUUUCUUGAGGAGCCAUCAUUCGUAGUAAACCCACGGCAUCACCUCCGCUAGCCUAUAUUUACCCAGGUCCGCCAUUAUCCUCCUAUCUUCUGGAACAUUCUGGGACAAGCUGCCCUGAUUCUCACUUGACUUUCUCUCUCCCUCGGUAACCUCAUCUCCGGCUACACCCAUCCCUUUGCUGGGGCUUUAACUUCCCUACUUUUAGUCCAGUCUUCA